GAUGAAGAACGUAGCGAAAUGCGAUAAGUAGUGUGAAUUGCAGAAUUCAGUGAAUCAUCGAAUCUUUGAACGCACAUUGCGCCCUUUGGUAUUCCAAAGGGCAUGCCUGUUCGAGCGUCAUUUGUACCCUCAAGCUUUGCUUGGUGUUGGGCGUCUUGUCUCUAGCUUUGCUGGAGACUCGCCAUAAAGUAAUUGGCAGCCGGCCUACUGGUUUCGGAGCGCAGCACAAGUCGCACUCUCUAUCAGCAAAGGUCUAGCAUCCAUUAAGCCUUUUUUUCAACUUUUGACCUCGGAUCAGGUAGGGAUACCCGCUGAACUUAAGCAUAUCAAUAAGCGGAGGA
rnacentral:misc_RNA from 1 species